rnacentral:rRNA from 1 species
UACAGAGGGUGCGAGCGUUAAUCGGAAUUACUGGGCGUAAAGCGUGCGUAGACGGUUAUUUAAGUCGGGUGUGAAAGCCCCGGGCUCAACCUGGGAAUUGCAUUCGAGACUGAAUAGCUAGGGUACGGUAGAGGGAAGCGGAAUUUCCGGUGUAGCGGUGAAAUGCGUGGAUAUCGGAAGGAACAUCAGUGGCGAAAGCGGCUUCCUGGACCAGUACCGACGUUCAGGCACGAAAGCGUGGGGAGCAAACAGG